UUCAAAUUACUAAGAAACUUGGUUCUGAUGACUGUGAUGUGUGUAGUAAUUGUGUAAACUCUUGCACGCCAUCAUGAGAGUACUGUUUCUUUACUGAAAUGUUUGACCUGAGACGAAGAACAAUGAAGAGUUAGAAUUUUUCCCAUGAAGAAGGAGAUGUUGGUGUUAUAACUAAAAGAGGGAAAUACUCUUUAAGUUAAAGCUUACCGUGAGAUUAAUGCUGUUAAAGAAAAAAGGUAGAGGGUCAGAUAUUAGCAUGGUUUGUCCUUGUGAAAGCUAGCGCUUAUGCCCAUGAGGAAAAGAAUCAUGGCACUACAAACAAAAGAGAGAAAUGCUUUAAAGUUGAAGCAUGACCUGAAAUUGUGAAGGCUAAAGACUGGGAGUGUGUGUUCAUUAGCAUGACCUGUCCUUGAGGGAUCCUAGAACUUGUUCUUGCGGUAAUUUGUUCCGAGAGCUUGUCUAAUUCUUACAAGAACGUUUAGGAAAUUAAGGUUUCUAUUUUUCUAGUAUCCUGUGUGUUUAAAUAAACUCGAUGAAUGCUAUCUAUAUUUCACUAUGCAUUUGAUGUGUGGCAUCUAUGGUAGGGUUUUUCUUCUUCUAAGUAAUGUUGCGAGCUCUAUGGGUGAAGGACAGGAUUCAGCUUGAGAUAGUUGUGAGGUAACAGAUGUUGUCAAAUUAAAAAGUUCUAUAAAUUCAUUUGUGCAACUAGGGACAGAGCAGUUACAGUUUUGAAACCAUGAUUAGAAAGAAUGGCUAUGUGAUAUCUUCCUUGGGCAUUAGUCACUUUUUAAGAACUAACAGAUUUUAUACAAAAGCUAGGUUAAAUGCUAAAAGGGAGUAGCUUUCUCUCCUAAAAAUCUAGUUACUCGUGUAACUGAAGUAUAAUUAGUAACACCAGCAGGUUUUUAUUUUAAAUAUACCACCGUUGAAUUAGAGCUGUUUUGUAUUGUGUUCAGAAGAACUUUAAGCCUAAAUAUGCUCUCAAACCUGUCUGACAACUGAGUUUGAUACCAACAAAGCCCUUUGAAGUUUUUUCUUGUGUAAAGCUCCAUAUGAAACCUUUUGUUGGUUCUUCUUGCUGUUACUUUAUGAAAGAAAAUAAUGAUUUUCAUAAAUUAUGCCAAUAUUUGCAUGUCAAUGAUUAGAUUACUACUUUUGUUGUUUGUCAUUUGAAUCAGUUUCGACAUAAGGCUUUCCGAAGCAUAAGUUACCAUACAUUUCUACCUGCCUCAACUGUACCUAACACCAAUAGAAAAGGUUGUAUGUUAGAAGUGCAGGUAGAGUUCCAGACACCUAUUGUCAAAGUGGCGCAAAAUUAUGAAGCAAAAGAGAGCUACAGAUAAUAUGUUAAGACCACAAACAAAAUAGUGAAUUAAAUUUUGGUUUCUAUAAUGCCUUUGUAUGUUGUAAUGUAUGUUGCUUUUGCUGUCAUUAACUCUUCAAACAGCUGUUGAGAUGGUCAUUUGGUUAGGACUUAGGAGUACUGAAGCUCUCGUAUCCUCAAAAUAUUAUUUUUUAAAUUGCUUUAUUUUGUGCGGAAGUGUUUUAGAAUUAAGCUUCAUAUUCCUUGAGAAGAUUUACUCUGUUUGCAAGUUAUCUGCAGAUGCAACAAUGUUCUCUACCUUCAUGGAGUUCCGGAGGAUGAAGAGAUAGAAGAUGCAGAACAAGACUAAGAAGAGGUCAUCAAUGUAUGUUCAAUCAUUGAGUUAAUAGAGAACUCCAAUAGUUUUGAUUUUCAUUUCGGAUAUGCUAAUAUUGUACAUGUAUUUUAAUCAGAGUUGUGCUGUUUGCUUUCAA